UAGGGAAUCUUCCGCAAUGGGCGAAAGCCUGACGGAGCAACGCCGCGUGAGUGAUGAAGGUCUUCGGAUCGUAAAACUCUGUUAUUAGGGAAGAACAAAUGUGUAAGUAACUAUGCACAUCUUGACGGUACCUAAUCAGAAAGCCACGGCUAACUACGUGCCAGCAGCCGCGGUAAUUCGUAGGUGGCAAGCGUUAUCCGGAAUUAUUGGGCGUAAAGCGCGCGUAGGCGGUUUUUUAAGUCUGAUGUGAAAGCCCACGGCUCAACCGUGGAGGGUCAUUGGAAACUGGAAAACUUGAGUGCAGAAGAGGAAAGUGGAAUUCCAUGUGUAGCGGUGAAAUGCGCAGAGAUAUGGAGGAACACCAGUGGCGAAGGCGACUUUCUGGUCUGUAACUGACGCUGAUGUGCGAAAGCGUGGGGAUCAAACAGG
rnacentral:rRNA from 1 species